rfam:Aedes albopictus isolate Foshan contig4174, whole genome shotgun sequence.
CAAACGGUCCUUUUCAGGACUACAGAAAAUGUUUCCGCAAGAGGUAU